GACGAACGCUGGCGGCGUGCUUAACACAUGCAAGUCGAACGGAAAGGCCCUGCUUUUGUGGGGUGCUCGAGUGGCGAACGGGUGAGUAACACGUGAGUAACCUGCCCUUGACUUUGGGAUAACUUCAGGAAACUGGGGCUAAUACCGGAUAGGAGCUCCUGCUGCAUGGUGGGGGUUGGAAAGUUUCGGCGGGUGUGGAUGGACUCGCGGGUUAUCAGCUUGUUGGUGGGGUAGUGGCUUACCAAGGCUUUGACGGGUAGCCGGCCUAAGAGGGUGACCGGCGGCAUUGGGACUGAGAUACGGCACAGACGGCUACGGGAGGCAGCAGGGGGGAAUAUUGCACAAUGGGCGGAAGCCUGAUGCAGCAGCGCCGCGUGUGGGAAGACGGCUUUCGGGGGGUAGACCGCUUUCGCCUGUGACGAAGGGUGAGUGACGGUAAUGGGUAAAGAAGAACCGGCUAACUACGUG
rnacentral:rRNA from 1 species